GACGAACGCUGGCGGCGUGCUUAACACAUGCAAGUCGAACGGUGAAGGGGUCUGCUUUUGUGGGCCCUGGCUGAGUGGCGAGCGGGUGAGUCACACGUGAGUAAUCUCCCCCCUUCUUCUGUAUAACCGCAUGAAAGUGUGGCUAAUACGGGAUAUUCUGGGUCUGUCGCAUGCUGGGUUUGGAUAAGAUUGUGCCUUUGGGUGUAUUUGGUGGGGGAUGGGCUCGCGGCCUAUUGGCUGGUUGGUGGGGGGAUGGCCUAGCAUGGAGGUGAACGGUAGCCGAAGUGGGAGGGUGAACGGUCACACUGGAGCUGGGACACGGACCCUGCUCCUACGGGACGCAGCAGAGGGGAAUGUUACGCAAUGGGGGCGAACCUGAUGCAGCGACGCCGCGUGUGAGAGGGCGGCGUUCGGGUUGUAAACCUCUUUCGCGAGUGAAGAAGGCCUGCUACCUGUGAGUGGGUUGACGGUACCUGGAGAAGAAGCGCCGGCUAACUACGUG
rnacentral:rRNA from 1 species